rnacentral:tRNA from 1 species
GGAGAGGUGACCGAGUGGUCGAAGGUGCACGACUGGAAAUCGUGUGUACCGAAAGGUACCGGGGGUUCGAAUCCCUUCCUCUCCGCCG